GUGAGACUCUAUCUCAAACAAAAAAAAAUUGCAAAAAGGCUAAUGGUAGAAGCUAAACACAUAUUUGUUAAAUACAUCUGGGUAACCCACAGGUGUGAAAGGUAGGGUUAAUAUUUCCUAGUAUCCCAGAAUCCUCUUAUGAAGGCAAAGAAGUCCCUCUUAAUAUAUCAUUACUGGGCCCCCACUGUGUACAAGAUGCAGGCUAGGCACAAAGGAGCCUACAGAGAUGUCUGUGCCCUGCUUCUUGGCCCUCAGGAAACUCAGUCUUGUGGAGACAUAUCCAAGGAGAAACGAAUGCAGGAAUAAAAGGACAGAGUUAUUACUAAGAUGUCUUGAGACAAUAGGGCAUCAGAAUACAGAGGAAGAGGCUUCUGGACCUUGGACUGACUGUGCAAGUUCAUUUCUCUCUCUGGGCCCCCAUUUCCCCUUUUGUAAGACAAGGAGUUCAGAAGAGAUGAGCAAACAUCAACUCCACUUUCACAACCCUCCCGACCCCCAGCUUGUGCAUUCUUUGAGAGAGUGAGAGCUGCACCCUGGUUCUUAGCCUCUUGCUCCUGCUACAUAUUCUUGCUCCCAAGCCUUGGCUUGUGCUGGGAAUUUGCCUGGCUUGAGCUCUGAAAGAAAUCCAUCAGAGGAGGUUUUUCACAUAGCUUCCCUUAAAAAAAAAAAACGCACAAAAUGUUUGGAGUCCAAAAAGACCAUGCCUCUAGUGGAAGCUUCCAGCACCCGUUAUAGGGGUUCCUGGUACCACCCCAAGUACAGGUGGGGAGAACAGCCCCUCAACAGAUGGGAGAAUGUGCCUCUUCCCCAGGACCAGGGCUUGAAUGAUUAAAGUUUAAAGAAUUAAAUGGUUCAUGCUGAAGGAUUCCCCUGAAGUCAUUCUCCCACUUUGCA
rnacentral:lncRNA from 1 species